UGGCUCUUCUGUCUUCCAGAGUCAUCCUGUGGUAUCUGUGGGGGAGGAGCUAAGAGCUAGGCCUUCCAUGAUGUCGAUGAUGUAAUGGUGGCAGGUAAGGGUGAGAAGCAUGCCUCCUUUUAGGAGGGUGGGUGGUCCUGCGUCUCAUAGUCCUUCCCAUGGCCAGAGCCCUUCUGCCUCUGAGGAGGCCUGGGAGCCAGAAGCAGAGGUUUGCUGUGUAUGGCCUCAGUGGAGGAGGAUGAGAACAGUUUGAACCCCCUCCUAGUGGAGGCUCUGGUGGGGGGGGGAUCAUCACCUCACACAGAUAUGAACCUGACCUAUAGAGUGAUGAUGCUGGGUGUCCAGGGGUGAACGGCAGAGAGAUGGUCCCACCCUCUGAGAUCUUCGAGUACGAAAACACGUCACCACAACUCAGCAAGCAGACAGCUCUGCGCAUCUCCAGACCCUGACCUGCCUUGGAGCCUUGGGGAUCCCUUGGAUUCUGACCUCAUGGAACUGGCGAGCAACCUGAAGAUCCUGUCCUCCCCAGUACCUGAGACGGAGCUCCCUGAAGAAGUAUUCCUGGAAGAUAUACAGCUUAGGAUUCACCCUGCCUUUGAUGGACAGCUCCAGGGUUGGGGGAGGCUGCAGUUUAGAGCCCUGGGGCACUGCAGGCCCCCUCCUCAUUCCAGUCUCUGGAGAUGGGGUAGAGCUAGGCUCCCUCCUGGCCACAGGGUGGUGUCUCAAAGGACCAGUGGGUAGGGCAGGGACUCCAUGGGCAUGGAAGAGGGGCUGCUGAGGAGGGGCCCAAUGUCUGUCUUUUGUCUGUUUUUCUUUUCUUUUUC